rnacentral:rRNA from 1 species
UACGAAGGGGGCUAGCGUUGCUCGGAGUUACUGGGCGUAAAGGGCGCGUAGGCGGCACUGUUAGUCAGGCGUGAAAGUCCUGGGCUCAACCUGGGAACUGCGCUUGAUACGGCAGAGCUAGAGGAUGGAAGAGGGUCGCGGAAUUCCCAGUGUAGAGGUGAAAUUCGUAGAUAUUGGGAAGAACACCAGUGGCGAAGGCGGCUCUCUGGUCCGAUUCUGACGCUGAGGCGCGAAAGCGUGGGGAGCAAACAGG